AGCUGGAUAGCUCAGUGGCAGAGUACCUGCUUUGCAUGCAGAAGGUCCUGGGGUACAAUCCUCAACAAUGGCAUUUCCAGGUU